GCUCCCGGGCGCCGGCGGCCGCCGCCGAUGACGCACGCCGAGCUCCUGCGCAUGCGCACUUGGCUCCCUCCAGGGUUUCUGCGCCCAGUAGGAGCAGAAGGGGAGGGCCUGCCGGGGGCGCCUGCCGGGCGGGCUGCAAUUCGGAACCUCCCCAGCUCCGCAGCCCUACGGUUCCCCUAGGGUUCUGACGCGGUCGUGGGACGGCUGGGCGCCGGGAAGCGCUCUGCAGUCGCUGUCAAGUCCUCUCCGGCCCAGCAGCCAGGGCGGAACCUCAGGCUUUACAGACGACCGCUGCUCGUUUUGGGGACAUUGAGGGGCACAGAGGUGUUCAGUGGAGGGCUCGGGGAUGCGCUUGGGCUGGCAGACUCAGGUGGGCUGGCAGACUCGGGUGGGCUGGGCCCAGGAGCCUUAGAGUCAGAGGCCGGGCUCGUUCGUGUCUGCAGCCUUGUGCGUGGAGUGGCCAAGGGGUCGCACUGCCGGUGCUGGGGUGGUAAGGAGGUCUGGGAUAGUGCCGGGAGCAGGAGCUCCGCCCGUGGCAAAGGUCGUGAGGAAGGAGGCUCAGCAUACACAAAGGCGGGAUCGAGCCUCAGGAGUCCCCCUGGAAAUUCUCGAGCAUCUACCCCCCAAACCAGAGUCUGCCUACUUUCUGCUUUGUGCUUUCACCUACACCUCUGACUUUAUGGGGGGCUGUCCCCCACUACCUCUCUGAAAAAAGAGUUAACUUACAGCUCCAGUUAAUAAAAUUCCUGGGUGUGCUAGUGUUUCAACCUACAAACUCCUUUGGAAGUCCUCUAGCCUGCCUGAAUAGGUUUUUCCGGCCACAUGUGAUUGUUCAGAGCCUCCUAACUGUGAGAGGCAUGAGAUGUUCUAAACUGUCUAAAUACAGAUUCCUUUGAGCAGUUAAAAGAUUGAUUAGAAAUUGUAUUGGUGAAGGGUUUUUCACUUGUUGGGCCAAUGUUUGCUGCUAAGUUUCCAUAUCCCUUACUUGCUGUGUCCCUGGCAGUGUAUUGAUUAAUAUAAUUGGUGUAAGUAGUAGCUUUAAUGUUUGUAACCUUGGACCCUUGAGUUAAUUCUUUUUCUUGUUAUAGCCCACCACACCUUUGCCCUGUAGGAAUGCAACUUUAUCUAAUGCUUUUGGAGGGUCACUAAUCACCUUUAGAGAAAAAUAAGUUUUCUGAAGAAAGGGUCUUAAAAUGUUAACAGGCCUCCGGGCCAGAAGAUGAUGCAAAUCACCUAAACUUUUGCAUAUGAUAAGUUUGCAGGAAGAAAGCCUGGCUUACUGCAUGACUCUACCCCUUCCCCCAUUAUCCUCUAUGCAUAACUUAAGGUAUAAAAACUACUUUGGAAAAUAAAGUGCGGGCCUUGUUCACCGAAACUUGGUCUCCCCCUGUCGUUCUUUCUCUCACCUUCUGGCUGAAUUAUUCAGCCUCUUUUCUCCACUAAAUUUUCUCACUGAGCUAUCCUUAUUUAACCACUCUUUAUAUCCUUAAUUAACGUUUAAUUAAGCAAUUGUUUCCUGAUUCUCGCCGACGCCGUCCCCGCUUUGAAGUCCCUGGAUCCACCGGGGCUGGACCCCUGCAGGAUAGGUAUAUGAAAAGAUGCUCAGGCUCACUAAUCAUCAGGGAAG
ensembl:lncRNA